rnacentral:misc_RNA from 1 species
GAGGAAGUAAAAGUCGUAACAAGGUUUCCGUAGGUGAACCUGCGGAAGGAUCAUUACAGAUAUAUAAUAUAUAUAUAUAUAUCCAUCCAAUCUCCCUUUGUGAACUUUUGGUUGUAAAGUGAGUAAGUGCCCCUAUUUAAUUAGGGGUUUUUGAAAGCUUGCAAUCCAAAUCUUUUAUAUUAUACACUAUAAACAUUACAAUGAAUGAAUCAUAAUAACAAUAUAUAUAAUAUACAACUUUCAGCAACGGAUCUCUUGGCUCUCGCAUCGAUGAAGAACGCAGCGAAAUGCGAUAAGUAAUGUGAAUUGCAGAAUUCAGUGAAUCAUCGAAUCUUUGAAUGCACCUUGCACCUCUUGGUAUUCUGAGAGGUACACCUGUUUGAGUAUCAUUAAUUCUAUCCACUCUUAGUUAAAAGGGUUGGGACUUGGGAGAUUUACUUGCAGAGUUGAAUAUCUGCUCUCCUUGAAUGUAUUAGCAGGGAUUUUAUUAGUCCUUGGAUUGAUUGUGAUAAUUAAAACAUCUCUUCAAAUCCUUGGGUCUAAGUUGUUCAUCUGCUUCAAACAGUCUUUACUUAUUAGUAGACAAAGUUUCUAAAAGACCAUGAUCUCAAAUCAGGUGGGACUACCCGCUGAACUUAAGCAUAUCAAUAAGCGGAGGAAAAGAAACUAACAAGGAUUCCCUUAGUAACUGCGAGUGAAGCGGGAAGAGCUCAAAUUUAAAAUCUGGCAGUUCCUUGAAGCUGUCCGAGUUGUAAUUUAGAGAAGUGUUUUCUGUGCCAGACCGUGUACAAGUCUCCUGGAAUGGAGCGUCAUAGAGGGUGAGAAUCCCGUCUUUGACACGGACUUACUGGGACUAUGUGAUACACUCUCGAAGAGUCGAGUUGUUUGGGAAUGCAGCUCAAAAUGGGUGGUGAACUCCAUCUAAAGCUAAAUAUUGGCGAGAGACCGAUAGCGAACAAGUACCGUGAGGGAAAGAUGAAAAGCACUUUGGAAAGAGAGUGAAACAGUACGUGAAAUUGCUGAAAGGGAAACACUUAAAGUCAGUCGCAUCUGCUAGAAUUCAGCCUUUUUUAUUAGGGGUGUACUUUCUAGUUGGAUGGGCCAGCAUCACUUUUGGCUUUUUACUGGAAAAGGGCAGGAGGAAUGUGGCACCCUCGGGUGUGUUAUAGACUCUUGUCAUAUACAGUAGCUAAGAGUGAGGAUCGCUAAUAUAACAAAGGAUGUUGGCAUAAUGGCUUUAAAUGACCCGUCUUGAAACACGGACCAAGGAGUCUAACAUGCAUGCAAGUGUUUGGGUGGUUAAAACCCUUGCGCGUAAUAAAAGUGAAAAGUUGGGAAGGCCUUCAAAAGCCUACACUGACGCCCGGACUUGAGAUUUAUCAAUGGUUCUGCGGUAGAGCAUGUAUGUUAGGACCCGAAAGAUGGUGAACUAUGCCUGAAUAGGGUGAAGCCAGAGGAAACUCUGGUGGAGGCUCGUAGCGAUUCUGACGUGCAAAUCGAUCGUCAAAUUUGGGUAUAG